CGUUCCCGGGUCUUGUACACACCGCCCGUCGCACCAUGGGAGCGGGUUUUACCAGAAGUAGGUAGCUUAACCGCAAGGAGGGCGCUUACCACGGUAGGAUUCGUGACUGGGGUG
rnacentral:rRNA from 1 species